rnacentral:rRNA from 1 species
GUAGUUAGCCGGGGCUUCCUCCUUGGCUACCGUCACUUUCUUCGUCACCAAGGACAGAGGUUUACAAUCCGAAGACCUUCUUCCCUCACGCGGCGUUGCUGGGUCAGGCUUGCGCCCAUUGCCCAAUAUUCCCCACUGCUGCCUCCCGUAGGAGUCUGGACCGUGUCUCAGUUCCAGUGUGGCCGAUCAGCCUCUCAGCUCGGCUACCCAUCGUUGGCUAGGUGGGCCGUUACCCCGCCUACUACCUAAUGGGACGCGAACCCCUCCUUCUGCGGAUUGCUCCUUUGACCUCUGAACCAUGCGGCUCUGUGGUCUUAUGCGGUAUUAGCACUUGUUUCCAGGUGUUAUCCCCCUCAAAAGGGCAGGUUGUUCACGCGUUACUCACCCGUUCGCCACUAACUACAAAUCCGAAAACCUGUAGUCCGUUCGACUUGCAUGUGUUAGGCACGCCGCCAGCGUUCGUCCUGAGCCAGGAUCAAACUCUGA